CGGAGGAGCGAGCGUUGUUCGGAAUUACUGGGCGUAAGCGUAUGUAGGCGGUUUGUAAGACAGAUGUGAAAUCCCAGAGCUUAACUUUGGAACUGCAUUUGUGACUGCAAGACUUGAGGAUCGGAGAGGUUGGCGGAAUUCCUAGUGUAGAGGUGAAAUUCGCAGAUAUUAGGAGGAACACCGAUGGCGUAAGCAGCCAACUGGACGAUUACUGACGCUGAGAUACGAAAGCGUGGGAGCAAACAGGAUU
rnacentral:rRNA from 1 species